GAUGAACGCUGGCGGCGUGCUUAACACAUGCAAGUCGAACGGAGUGCCUUUGAAAGAGGAUUCGUCCAAUUGAUAAGGUUACUUAGUGGCGGACGGGUGAGUAACGCGUGGGUAACCUGCCCUAUGCAGGGGGAUAACGUUUGGAAACGAACGCUAAUACCGCAUAACCUAGUUGGUUCGCAUGAACUGGCUAGCAAAGAUUUUAUCGGCAUAGGAUGGACCCGCGUUGGAUUAGCUAGUUGGUGAGAUAACAGCCCACCAAGGCAACGAUCCAUAGCCGGCCUGAGAGGGUGAACGGCCACACUGGGACUGAGACACGGCCCAGACUCCUACGGGAGGCAGCAGUGGGGAAUAUUGCACAAUGGGCGCAAGCCUGAUGCAGCGACGCCGCGUGAAGGAUGAAGGUCUUCGGGAUCGUAAACUUCUAUCAGCAGGGAAGAAACCAUGACGGUACCUGACU
rnacentral:rRNA from 1 species